UCAGGAAAAUAAAAUGUUAAUUU
rnacentral:piRNA from 1 species